AGUUCUUAUAAAGGAAAGCAUUUCACAUGCUUAUAUUCUGACACAGCUUCCACAAGAUGAAAAUCAUGAAGAAUAUAAUAAUUCCAAUAUUAUGCUUAUUAUAUUAGCCAUUAUCAUAAUCCACCACUAUAACUGUCAGUGUGCGAGGAAACAUAUAUACUGGUAAGCUGAGGCCUCCCAAGUAUUUUAUACAUUUGCUGAUUGGCGAA
rnacentral:misc_RNA from 1 species